AGAAAAGAGGUUGCUAACAUGAAGAGAGAAGCCAAUUGUUUGGUAGCCAAGGAUGACUUGCCUGCUCCUAGACAUUUCGAUUUUCGAGGUUUGGAUCGGAAAUCAUUGUUUAGAACAGGUUGUCAGGCAGUCACCUUGGCUAACUUGACAAGCUUCUCUCCCUCAUGUUAGCCCCUCAUUUUCU
rnacentral:pre_miRNA from 1 species